GCCAAUCAGAGCGGCCGCAGAAGAGGCGCUGCACGCUGGGAAUUGUAGUCCGGUCCCCUGGGGCGGGUGGUGCGCAGUGAGGUGCCCGGAGGCCGAGGUCCAGCCGGCCCACGCGGGGCAGGGUCCCAGAUGUCGCUCGGGAGCCCCGCAUCCCGCACUGGCGAGGGCAAAGCCUCCACCGGCCGCUUUGUCAUCUGUUUGUCCCCGCCCUUGCCCCGGCCCUUCACGCGAUGCACGUGUGCAGCCCCGAGGCCUGCAGGCCAUGUGGGGUCUCCCUGAGCACGGCUGUGUAAGGUGCUUGAUGGAAGGCCUCGCACAGCUUACUCCAACAAGUCCCCACAACGACGGUCUGAGGACCAGAAAUCCUGUUAUCAGCAGUAGAACGUUUCCUGUGAAAGCAAAGACUUCCUCUUCAAUCUCUGUCUUACAAGGGAACAAGCACUCUCCCCUCCACUCCCACCGUUACACAAGAAUGGAUCUUAGGAAGAAGUGCCCUGUGGCCCACCAUCCUGGUACAUACCAGCUGCCUGUUCUCUCACAUGAUCAGACUGAAGGCCUUUGAAAACAAAUAAGGAUUUGAAUGAUAUGUGACAUGGCCAAAUAUUAUCUUGAAACCAUUCUCAUCAGCAUGGGAUUUUUGAGGUAUUUUCAAGGGAAUGCAUACACAGAUUGAAACAAUGGAGAGGAUAACAAGCCCUGGCCACAGGAGAAGCAGCUUAGUAUGAAGACCCAAGUGCUGAAACAGCAAGAGGUUAACAAUGACAGACAUGCUGCUGAAAACUGGAACUCUCUAAGAGCCCUGAGUUCAGUUUGACUCUGCUUCUCAGGACCUAAGUACAUUCAUCUUCCUUUCCUGCAAGUAAGUGAUGAAGGAUGUAUGGAGAUAUGUAAAGAACCAGACAGUGGCGGAAAUAAGGAACUAAGGAAUCAGGCAAGCAGGAUCAUGGGCUGCAGACACAUUGAGGAGCAGGUGAGAGAGGUACCUGGAGCUGGGGCUGUCCUUGUGUUCCCCGUCAGCCUGGGCAACCCCUGAGAUCCUGGCACCUCUGGUCCUGGGGAGAUGCCAGCCUGCACAGUGCCAUGACAGAUCAACAGCAAAGAGACUGCUCAGAAUUGUACAUGGGGUGACAAAAAACACAGUGGAAUAAGUCAAUGAAGAGUCAGAAGAAUCUGCAAAGGAAAUUGGAGGACAGAUGACGAUUUUGGACACAUCAGUAAUUAGAGACCUUUUUCAACUGCCACAACUCUUCAAAAAUGACAGAGUGACCUUGCCAGCACUUGCUUCUGUAGGACUCUUACGUUCAUUAGUAACAAAGCAAUGAGAAGAAUACCUGUCAGAUUUUGAUUGCCUCUAAACUUCCUAAACACAUGGGAGCAAGUGAAUGUUCUAUCAAUGGUGCUGGUUCCACAACUGUGAUGUAAAUAAAUCCCAGGUGUGAUGUUACAUAUUUGACCACACAGCUGCUAACACUUUCCUGUGAUGUGCAUCUUCAUAUUUGUAGGAGCUUCCUAUCUAUAAGAGGUCCUGUUUUCACAUCAGAACAUGAGAAGAAUAAGGGAGAUACCUGUGCUAUCCUCAUGAAUCCUGGUUAACUCUACAUCUGUCUCAUGAAUUUCAAAGAAGUCCUACAUAAAAUUCUAUACACAAGGUAUUGUGUGAAACCCAAAACAAUACUGGCCUCAACUGCUCAGGACUGGAAGACCAGGAAUGUUAGGAACUGGCUGCAGAAGAAAGUAACCUCUCCAAAUACCUCCAGUAUCAAAAUCUAAAUCAAAGACUGCUUAUAAAUGGGUAAAAAGCCUUCUGAUGGCCUCAGUGGAGAGCUGUAGUGGUCACACUCUGAGAUCACUGAUAGUUUUUUAACAUCUCCUGAAAGGACUCAGAUGUCAGCAAGAUGAGGAAUCAGAGUGGUGCACCACCUGGUAGUCAGUGAAGCAGUGGAAAGACAGGAGCACUGUGAAUCUGCUGCAGACACCACCUGUAGAAGUUAGACACCAAGUGGGGCAGCCUGCAUGCUUAAAUGUGCAUUAUUUAUACAAACUGUGGAGAAAAUACAGCCUUGUUAUUUGCACUGUUCCUUUAAGUAGGGGACAGUCCUCUGUUGUAUAGGUACAUGCUGUACUGUUAGAGCUCUGAUCUAAGAUCGGUGCUACUGAAGAUGUCUUUCCCAAGUCAAACGGUUUUAUAACACACAUUUAGCUACAUUAACAACAUUAAGAUUGCUGUAUUUUCCCAAAUCGUGACAUGAGGAGGAGAAAUUAUCAUAUUUGAAAUGCAAGGAAGGAUUUUAUGAGAAUGCACUGAAAGCUAAAUCAGGACUGCUCCCAGCUGUGUUUCCGGAGGCAUGUUUAUUCCACUACCUUACUGAAUCACCUUGAGCAAGAUAUUUAACCUCUUUCUUUCUACAU